UGAGGUGCGAAAGCGUGGGGGAGCAAACAGGAUUAGAUACCCCUGGUAGUACCACGCCCGUAAACGAUGAGAACUAGCCGUUGGGGCCCUUGAGGCUUUGGUGGCGCAGCUAACGCGAUAAGUUCUGCCGCCUGGGGAGUACGGCCGCAAGGUUAAAACUCCAAAUGAAUUGACGGGGGCCCGCACAAGCGGUGGAGCAUGUUGUUUAAUUCGAUGCAACGCGAAGAACCUUACCACCCCUUGACAUACCUGCGAACUUUCUAGAGAUAGAUUGGUGCCUUCGGGAACGCAGUGACAGGUGCUGCAUGGCUGUCGUCAGCUCGUGUCGUGAGAUGUUGGGUUAAGUCCCGUAACGAGCGCAACCCUUGUCCUUAUUUGCCAGCACAUUAUGGUGGGAACUCUAAGGAGACUGCCGGUGACAAACCGGAGGAAGGUGGGGA
rnacentral:rRNA from 1 species